CGAAAUCAAACAAAAAACUAAGAUGCCACCAAGAACCUGCCUUAUAAUAAAUCCUAUAACCCUCUUUUCUUCUUCUCCUAUUCAACCAAACUCCUCGCCACCUAUAACGCCCUUAAGCUCCUUCCGAAGAAAUCCCAGAAAAUAAAGUCUUUUGCAAUCCAUUCAUCUGUUAAUCUUUCUUUCUAUAACAAAAAGGAAGGAUUUUUCGAUUGUAUAUUAGAGAGAGAUAAUGGAGGAGAUGGCUGGUGCUGCAUCUGCGUCAUCUAUCCAUAACACUGUUUCUUCUUCUUCAUCAUCAUCAUCUUCAUUUGGGUCUUCCAUAUUCACCAAUUAUCCUCUCAUUGCUGCUUUCAGUGCCUUCGCUAUUGCCCAAUCUACCAAGCUCUUCACUUCCUGGUAUAAGGAAAGGCGAUGGGAUCUCAAGCAACUUGUUGGGUCUGGAGGAAUGCCAUCAUCCCAUUCUGCUACAGUUACUGCACUUGCCAUGGCCAUUGGGUUCCAGGAAGGCUUUGGAGGAUCAUUGUUUGCAACCGCAUUAAUCUUAGCUUGUGUUGUAAGAAUAUUUCAUCCUUUAUGAUUCCUCAAGUCAUACAGUUUUUUCACAUUAAUGAAUAUAUAAUGCAGAAAUUUUAUUUUUUACAUUGAGAAUUUGGUGGCAGGUGAUGUAUGAUGCAAGUGGUGUAAGACUGCAGGCCGGGCGCCAGGCAGAGGUCUUGAAUCAAAUUGUAUAUGAGCUUCCUGCUGAGCAUCCUCUGGCAGAAAGCAGACCUCUACGUGAACUUCUUGGUCACACUCCUCCUCAGGUUUGUAUAUUUCCUCAUAUAGUUUUCUUAUAAUUUUCUAAAAGAUCUCUUGUAUAUUUAAUAUGCCUGUGAAGUUGCUGUUAAAUCACCUUCUGGUACAAAACAACUGCCACUCAAAUGAUGGUGACCCGAAUUGUUAUUUAGCAAUUAGCACACAGGAUCAGGAUGUAUUCCAUUUAAGUUCUAGCUUUGAAAAUUGAAAAUGAAGUUAUUAAUGUUGGAAAAGCUUAUUUCCCUGUAAGAUCAGACCUCCAGUAACAUCACGGACAACUCAUUUCCCAACUUUAGAGAUAAUCUCAUCCCCAUCUGUGCUUGAGGGCAUAAAUUGUAGGUUGGACUCUUCAUUUUCAUGAAGCAUAUGAUUUUGGAAGCUGUAGUAAUUAUCAUUGUUCGAUAAUGCUCUUCGAUGAUAGGUUAUUGCUGGUGGUUUGCUUGGGAUUGUUACAGCAGUUGUUGGCCAUUUAAUUACAGUGACAAGCAGUUAAAGUUGAUGCACAAGGAAAUCAUAGCCAUCUUGCAGCACAUCUGAUGGCUAUGAAUCUGAUCACACUAUAGGACAGAAUUGCAACUUGCAGUCUUUGUGACAAAAAAUGGUUCUUAAAAGCUUGGAAUGAUAAGUUUGUGCU
rnacentral:misc_RNA from 1 species